GUUCCGUUCAUUCGCGUUCCAUCCCUUGACGAGGCUAGUAGGGUGUUAAAACGGUCCGAUAAGCGCGCGUCAUGGCCAAAGCGGCCUCCCAGGGUGGUCACACUUACCCCCUACUGAGCAGCACCAGCAACGGCAGUAGAACCAGUAGCAGCAACAGCAGCAGCAUCGUACUAUUAUUAGUUCACUAAGGUGCCCGCAACAAUUCACAAAUACCCGAGUGCCGAGUUCUCCCGUUACGCUCAGUGAGGAGCUGCCGAUCUACGUGUCCGCAGCCAGAACUACCCCGAAACCACCACCUUUGUGAACAGGAUACACCACGCAGGGGUUCCCCAACCAAGUCUGGGGCGAAAGAACAAGUGUUGUUAUUAAUGUUAGUAUCGUUGUUGUUGUUAGCCAUCCUCGGUAGGAUACACUGGUCCUUGCUCCUGUUGUGAAGUGAUGCACAGUGGCAAGCGAAUCCCGAACGACAGCGUGAACGAGUCUGUCCAAUAGGUGUACGUGCAGUGGAAAAAAUCCUAGUGUCUAGAGGCCAGUAAACCAGCUCGUCGCAGAUCCUCACCAAACUGUCUGCUCCGUGAUCGACCCAAGGAACGUUCGUUCACCCGUUAACAGUGACAACCAACGCAACUAGCGCAAAGUGCAGCGGUGCCAUCGUGUCAGAUAUUCGUGCCGAGAUAUCGAUUGACGUCGCGAACCCAAGGAUACGGGCGAUAAUCUGUAAUUAUCUCUGUACAACUGUUCUGUUCCGUUCUGAUCCGCGUGAGCGUGGUGCGUGUACCUUUGUCAACUGCGACAUGCGAUUUCGGUACGUGUGAGUGUGUGCGUUCGUGCGUGCGUGUGUGUGUGUGACUGAGUGUGCCAGUGUGAUGGUGUACAUUUGCUCGGUGUAAGCGUGUAUCUAAGUGUAUCUGUGUGUUUCUCUGCCCGUGUGUGUGUGUGUAUGUUCGCGUUCGGUGCGUGUACCGAAAUCAGUGUGAAAGCAGUGCAGUGGACGUGCAAUGAAUGCCAACGGUUUGGAGCAACCGUCACGACUCCACACUGUGUCCUGCCCGAAAAAUCUGGCCAAACAGCGAGCUGCAGAAAAACUGGCUGAGCUGGUGUGUGUGUGAUAGUGCGCGAAAGCAGUUGAGAAGUUCUACCGUCUAUCUCUGCUCCGUGUUGCUAAGGGUCCGCCGAUAGGUCCGCCGGAACGCACACGCACAGUACAGUGUCCGCAGACAGUAGAAAGUGAAUCGGAAGCGAAUAGAGCGCACGGUGUAUCGGAGCUUCCCCAAAUCGCCCAAUGCACGUACGUUGGAUUGCUAGUGUGGCGUGCCACCGAGAACGAGCGUGAAAGUGGUCCAUUAAGACUCCGCACAUUCGCACUAUUUCUGGCCCACACUCACACGCCUUCUGGCUAGUGCUUUGUCGCGUUCGCCGAACUCUGACUGGCUCUGACCUUUCCGUCGCCAUUUGCCGAGGGACGGUGUAAUGGUGCGAGAACCCGUACAGGAAUGUGUUCCGUGCGCAUCUAGUCAACGCGUAGCUCGUCCUAUUCCUUAUAGUGUGGUAGCGAGUUCCUAAACACUGAAGUUGAAGAUCUCCAAACAUCCGCCGCAUCUGCUUCCACCGGGCACCGAUAGACACUCUCGUUGUUUCGACCUCGCGACGCUGCUAAACUCGAUCCCGUCCCGACGCCAUUAGUCUUUCCACGAUAGCGAGCAAGCAGGAUAGAGGGGUGUAGAGUUUCCUGGACCGUUUCGUGACUGGGACUUUCAAAGAAUAAGGAAAAAAAAUACACACAUACAAACACAUUCUCAAGAACCCUCCACGACUCCACGACUCGGCAUACCUGUCACUGGUUAAAGAAGGGACCUGUUGAAUAUCCCGCACGGUGGUUAGCCGUUACGGACGUUCGUGUCAGCGCUCAUCAGGAUCAGCCAGCACCGAAACCGGCACGAGUACCGAAAGGUCCCAAAGGUCCCCAGGUAUCCGCGUUCGGGAAAAACAAAAGAAACAGUCCGGAUCAGGCGUCGGGAAUAUCAUCCAUCUCCCCUCGCAGCUUCACACGCGCGCGUAGUUCCCCACUCCCCCCCAUUGUUCCGACUGCCUACCCGUACCGUACCGCCUGCAAGAACACUGCCGAAACCGGGCUCGUGUGUGUGUGUGUGGGUGUGUGGUAGCAGUGAAAAAUGAUCCGACCGAUUCUACCGAUACUGGCGUACAUGAGCGUGCUCUCGAGUACGUACUCGCUGCACAUGGCACGCGAUGCUUACAUCAAGCCACCGCCGCCACCGCCACCCGCCCAGCUGCUCGACGACCUGGACGACAUGUCGGAGCUGCUGGCCGAAAACGGUGUCGACCUGAUGCGGCCCAUGAUGGCCACGGUUCACCAGAAGACACACAGCACCACCAACGGUGGAGGUGGUGUUGGCGGUGGCAGUGGAAGCAUCAUCAGCAGUAACAAUGGUGCGGUCGCGUUAGGCACCAUCAACCACGUGACGAGCAAUGAGCUGCCCGAGCUGAGCCCACCGCCGGCCCAUCUGCCGACGGGGUUACGCCACGGCCCGAUCGGGCCACUUGUUGGGCAGCCACCGCGUGGUCUGCAGGAACUGUUCGGUGUGCAGGCCAACUUUGACAUACGAGCUGCGCAGCAACAACUGUCCCACGGUCCGAACGGUGCGACAUCCUCCUUCGACGUCAAUCAGUCCUCCUCCUCCUCAUCCUCCUCCUCGAGCGGCAUGGACGAUCGGGAUGAUGAUAAUGGUGAAGGUGGUGGUGGGAGAGGCGAUAGGGAUGACGACAUCAACGGAGCAGUCGCUGGUGGUAGUGGUGGACAGGGCAAUGCUAAUCUACAGCGGUCGGCGUCGAGCAGCAAGCGGGCGUCACCGACCGGCGGUCGCAAUAAGAUGAUGGCCGACUCUGGGCAAGAUGGCGGCAGCAGCAGUAGCGGUCUGCCAUCAAUCCCGCACGGCAUCGCGAACCAAAUGAUGCUGCGCAGUACACGCGGCCAGCGGCAGUACGAUGUACCGCAAAUUGAAUGCCCACCCGCGAUGGAUGGCAUGGAGCGUUUUGCCUGUCCUACACCAGAUCGGCAAGGCCGGUACCGAUGUAUAGACGAUCAUGUACUAUGCGACGGUUUCAUCGACUGUCCUGAAGGCGAGGAUGAGGACAGGCAAGCCUGUAUGUUCUACAAAACGACGAAAGCACAUCUCGACGUAUUAGCGGACGCCUUAUUGAGAUGGGCUCGAGGCCGUUAAGUUGUACAUUUCACACAGCUCCCGACAGCAUCGCUGUACUAGUGCUAGUUCGAGAACAUAGAAAACAGUUGAAAAGUGGUUGACAAGCAAAGUAGAGAGAGUGGUUGAAAAACAAGAAAGAGAUAAAGAGGAAAAGAGAGAAAGAUGGAGAAAGAAAACUGAGAAACAAAAACAUUCAAAUACACGACAUAAAAAAACGUUAUUUUACAACAACAAAAGCAAACACAUGGCCCCUACCAAAGUCGAGUCCAACGAUGAAAGCUAACAACGUAAGCAAGUGGAUGCAGCAAUAACUGUACUUCAAAUCAUUAAACACAGCAAUGCGUGAAAGAGGAGGAAAUGCAAAGACGUUGUAAAAAUAGAAAUGAAGUAUUCUGUACAUAUGAUUAAGCAAAGGCAAAGACAAACUUGCGACAAGAAAGACGAAAAGCAACUCAAAACGCGAUGCUGUGUUAACUUCAUUCACUGUGCUGGACACUUUGAUACAGGCUGGACGAAAAUACCGCAUUCCAACACAGCAACAACAGAACAAAACGAAAAUGUCAAAACUCAAAAAGCAGAUGAUCUUACUAUAUAUAUAUACAUAGAUCUAUAUACAAACAUAUAUUUACCAACUAAGCCCUAGCUUGUAAGCAACGACACGAAUGAGUAGGCGACAGCAACAAGGAUAUUCCGUACGUCAUAUGAUGAGUGUGGAGCAGUGCGACAGAUAUGAAUGUGAGAAUCGAGAUCGUGAAUGUGAGCGAAUCAAAUUCGAAGUGAAGGCUGUUGAUCAUACGAAUGCAACUGGAUUGGAAGGGCACCGAGAUGGGGAAUGGGUUGGAUGAGUGUACAUUUGCAGUGAACUGUUAUACGAUUGUCUGUGGAUGUGUGAAUGUGUGCUGAAGAGGUAUGUGAAACAUGAUGAUACGAAAGCCAAUCCCUAGAUAAAAUGUCAAGAUUUAAAUACAAGCCGAAUAGAAGAACAAGCACACAGCGAUGAAGGGUAGAAACUGAAAGGAUAUGUAAGUUGAUAAACGAAAACUACAACUUUCCCACAUAAAACAAGCAAACAGUCACCAACACACACAUAUACACACUCACACACUCAAAUCCGAUCGUAACAUAUAGUUAAGUAAGUGUAUGAAAUGAAUGUACAUUUUUUCUUCUAAAUUGUAAAUCAAAAUCAAACACAAACUGUAAAACGAUCCCCCUUCUUUCCAAAAUCACAAAUCUAAACUACUCUACUUUCACAAACCCUUUCUUUCUAGGUCAAAACAAUCAAAUUUUCUUUUUUCCCAACUCCAAAAUGCCAUCUUUUAUCGAAACAAACACCUGGCUAAUGGUUCCACUAAACGUGUAGCACCAAAGCUUAAACGAGUCAACAAUACCUUAACAACUGGAAAAUGUUUAACAACCAGCACAACAUUUUCUUUUUAUUCCACGAAUGUUCAAAAAACCAUGCAACAUCAUUUAUGGAAUGCACACUUUUCUCUACAUCAUUCCCGUUUUGAAGUAACAUAAACACACACAAACCACAACAUCACACACACAAACAUUGAGGAGGAAAACUAUUCUCAUGGACAAGGCAGCUAUAUUGUAUAGAUAAGUGAGCAGUUUAAGCAAAUAACAAACACAAAACUCUUUAGAUCCUUAAAUGCUAAAUAUCGAUGCGUAAUGAAGGACUAAGCAAACGGUGCAGCUACAAGCCCCCGACGAGCAGGAGUCACAGUAGACCUAACAAUAGGCAACACACAAGCCGAUCGGCUAUCAAGACGGCUUGCCGAGUGGACGAUUUGAUGAUUUAAUCACCGAAGCCAUAGGAAAACCCACAGCCACUAGCCGGGGUCGGGGCGAUGGGCACAAAGCGAACCAAAAUAACAAAAAACAAAAACAUGACAAAAAUGACUGAUAAUAUCAAUAUCUCUAAUCGACCAUCCACGCGACAGUAAAUUAAAGGGCGCACGCACACAGCAACCAUUCGUGUAAGCCCAGCGUGAAGUAGAGAGAAAUUGUGGAGCGAAAAAACGCGGUGACAUGUGUGGACAGAUGUCAGUCGAAGGUGUACUUGGAGUUUUUUGUUUUACAUUCUUAUGUUGAGUUUAUAACUUUAUUCUGAGCCAUGGAGUAGACAUACUUCUUUUAUAUUCUUUGUGUAUUUAUGAUAUUUUCAAACAUCUUUUUAAGAUUUUCAAGUUUUUUAAUAAAAAAUGAUUUUUUUAAAAUCUUGUAUCAUAUUUCAACUUUACCUUAUUUAACCAGGUUGCGUACUGAUAUGUUUUAGAGUCGUUUCAGGGCGUUUCGUAGGUGGCAGUGCAAUUGAUUAGAUUAAGCCGAAUGGUCGAAUGUGUGUGUGUAAAUCAGCGAGUAGCAUUCAACUAAAGUUAAGGUUAGAGUUCGUCAAAAAAUAACAGAACAUACCGGUCAACAUCAAUCACUCACCAAAGGCCAUCACAAGCCAUGUGUCACAAGCGUGAGCAUGAAGCGAGCAAAGGGCUUUUUGUUGAUUAAUUUUAUUUCCAGUACCCGCAUGUACAAUGAGCCUACCAGUAUACCAGUAUCCUAUUAGUUUGGUUAAACGCGCCGGUGCAGAAAGCCACCUCGAGCGGGGUAACGUUUUACCCCCUUUUGCGAGUAACGCCUAUCACGUACCACACAUACCAAAACGCACAGCGAUACAGCAGCAGAACAUUCCCCACGUGUCCCUCACGUAUGUACAUAGCCACACUCUUAUUUUCAAUAGCAAAGCCCAAAGGACGCUACAAAAUCUCGCUCAUCAACAGCAUUACUUAUAAAUGUCUAUUUGCACAAUAUUAUCUACAAACAACAAAUAUUAAACAGUAAAUAUUGAUGAUACACUGAGAACACAACAAAACACGCGAGAGAUGCAAAUGGCCGAGUCGAACAGACCCGGGUCAAGAUAUACACAAAACUAAGCGAAACAGGAUCAAGAACAGUGGGAACGAUAGGAGGAAAUAGAAGAAAAUCCAACAGACAAACAUCUUUCUCUCUCUAUACUACAACCAGAGUUCAAAUCGAGUCAGGUUUGAGUGCAGUUCAGGCGUGUUGUCUGCGUUGUCAUAAUGCGAACCAUCUCAAGGCCCUGCAUUGAUUCCCCAUCUUCAAGGAAAUGUUCAGCAACUCCGCUGUGAUCAGCAACACUUCACGACGCGUCAUCACAACUGCUGACCAGACAAAAAAGCAAAUGUUGCAGUGCCCAACAAACCCAACACAAAAUGGUGUACAGUGAAUCGACUGUGAAAGCUCUAAAAUGGCUGCGACCGAAGUGCUUACGGUUCGGCGAUGCGUUACCGCACUCAACCAAAGUGUUAGUGAUCGGCGACGAAACACUCAGUGAUUCAACGAAGAAAAGGAGAAAAACUAAUUUACAACCAAAAAAAAAACUUCGAUUUUGAAGCUAGAGGUGAUACACUGUUACAUAUGCAAGUGGACAAAAUUUAGAGCAAGCAGGCAGAAAGCAAAGAGCAACCAGAAACGUAAAAUGAUUUAACGGUCCUUUCACUUUAGAAAACAUUCUUUUCCGACGACAAGAAGGAGUUAUUGUAGCAUGUGUCAUUGAAACAGAAAGUAUUAUUAAUUUAAAAGCUAGAAAAAAAACUUUUGUUUACAGACAAAAAUGCGUUAAAACAUGCAAACACACAAAUUAAAAAGCAUAGCAAAAACACAAAGUCUGUUCCUAUAAUGUGUCUUAUAGAAAAGCAAGCAAAAAAAUACAAAAAGCUCUCCCACAAACAAACACAUACAGACACUGGAUCGCUCAUCAUUCCACCCCCCAUACCCACCAUACCUGUUCCGGCAAAAACCAUUCCAAUCACACUCAUACGCCUGCACUGAAUGUUCAUUUGUUACUGUUUUCCUUUUAUUUCCCCCCCGUUUUUUUCUCUUAACCUUAUCUAUCUUUCACGUUGCAAAAUUCCAUUGUUUGUUGCUGUUAUCGAUGUUGUUACUGUUGGUUGCAUGAACGAAAUGAAACGAAACGGAACGAGAAAGAGAAAAACAAACAUGGAAGUUAUAAGGUAAGAAUGAGGAUGAAAGUGUGGCUCAAGUAAAGCAGCUUUUCCGUUGAUUCAUUCGAAUGUUCUUCAAAAGAACUUGUCAAUUGAUGGCACAGCAUGGUUAGCAUUGUGCUCCGUAACGCUACGUUUCAACAACCCAAUCGGUCAAUUGGUCGUUCCCUUCUGAGCUAUUUCACAGGUCUAAAGUAGGCAAUGCAGAUAAGCCACGCAAAGGGUUAUCGAACCCGACGAAAAAUCGCACGGAAGGGUCGCAUACAUGUGGCAGCAAACAUCUCGAGCCUCACGUUGUACAAGAGAUGAGAAAGUGUGUUCAUUGCUUGGGAGCCCAUAGCCUUCGAUUCUAUUACUUUUUUAGGUUUUAAUAAGGUGCUUAAUCUUGAAGUGCUCUGUACUUUACGGGGACGAAUUGGCAAACUAGUUUCUGUUACGCAUUAGUAUCACGGAACAAAGAGAGAAACAAAACACGAGAGUGAGAGAGAGAGAGAGUACUCUAGCAAUAGCAAAGUUCCUAUUGCUAAACUACGACACUCUCUGCACCUCACGAAGAUUGGGAGGGGGAGGGGGGUUCUCCUGUUCGAGAGCAAUGGUAAAUGUUUAAGCAAACAAAACAAGUAAAUUAUAAUGAAAAGACUGACUUAGUAGAGCCGCAGUUGAACGCGUACACACUAACUAAAACAAGAUGAAGAGGAAGAGGAAGAAGAGUAACAUGAGGAAAAAAACGUAGCUAGCCAGAGUAUAAAACAAUAUUCUACUUAACAAUGGGUGUUUUUUAAAGCUCAUCACUAUUAAGUAUUAGUAAACCGCCAACCGAUUUCAGCGCGCGCGUUCUGCCGGCAAACGGAACGCCCGUCUACCACACGCUACACGCUUCCGAGCCUGGCGCUCACUUUCAAUAGUCGGAUUGCCGUACGCCGCGUACCUCCCGUUUAAUGGACGCUCUGGAAGCGUUCCGAUCCGUUCCGAUAUCCGUGUUGGUGUAUGUGAGAGCGCAGUGUGAGAAGAGUCAUACAAUCUUGUCAGCUUAAGAAACGCGAAUCGCUUGCUCUCACACUGCACUUCAAUCAAGAGAAGAAAAGAGAGAAACAUAGCAAUAAUCUUUUUGAUCUUAUCUUUCGCAUUUCGGUUAAGUUAAGCGAAACGAUUCCACAUUAGUUUGUUCGUAAUUUCUCGAACUUUAAGGGCCUCGACAGUAGUGAUGGAAGAUUUGGGACUCGGGAGGUGCGAAGAUCUAAUCCCUUAAAAGAUUCAAAUCGGAUUGGGAUCCGAUGAAGAUACCAUUAGGAUUUAAUUGGGAUGCCAUUGAAAUUUUCCAGUCCGGGAAUCCAGUGGGAUUCAAUCGGGAUUCCACUAGGAUUCGUUUGGGAUUCUAUUGGGAUUCGAUGAAGAUUUGAUUGAGUUUUGAUCAGGAUUUGAUAGGGAUCGGAUAAGAGUGCAGGCAUCACUACUCGACGGAGGAAGCCAUUGCCGAAAGUCUGCCAAAGGAUUACUCACGACGAUGGGACGUUAGAGUACGUUACAGUUGGCACCUUUUGAUGGUUCGAUCGGCCCACUGUUUGAAGAACAAUACGAGAGUCAUAAUUGUGUGUUUUAAAGCGAAUGAAAACAUCAACAACCAGCCGCUCUCGAUUGAAACACAUGUUUCUCGUGCCUUUUUUUUUUCUUUCGUUCAACAUCAUGGGCUCCCAAUCAAUGAAUGUGUACACACUGGCAAAAAAACAAACAAAGCGCCACCAAAAGACUAGACACGAAAGAAAGCCUCCCAAAAACAAAACAGUCGGCAUAAAAGAUAAAAAAAACAAGCAGAAAAACACGGGACAAAAAACAAAACGAAAUAGAGCGACGCUCGUUAAAACCACCAAACUGCAAAUGCGUGGAAAAAGCCGUCACAAACAGUGGAGGGACCCACUCUCUGCUCGGUCGUUUUUGAAUGGAAAUAUUUGUUAUUUAGUGCGGUACGAUACGCUACUGGUAUCAGCCAAAAGUGCUCGCGCGAAAAAGGGUAUGCGAAACUAAAAACAAAAAUCGCGUUAAAUGUUUAACGGUAGGCAACCACAACCACAAAAAAACGGUAAAGAGCAUUCAGCGAAAGUAGCUCACGGUUGAGGGAAAGCAAGAAAGCAACAAAAACCAAAGGCAACCUACAAUCAUCGAUACUUAAGAGUAGCCCUCUCUUUUUAGGUGUCAAACUAGAAGCAACAUUUAAAAAGCAAAAUCAAAACGAAAAAAAAACGUUGAAACACACACUGUAAAAGCCUGAAUGUUAAUUCAAACAGAUGUUAUUUGCAAACAAAAUGGAUGACGUUGCGAGUGUGUGUGUGUGUGUGUUUGUUUAUGUGCAUCAUAAACAACAGCAAAAUCGAAAAGGCCUAAGCAAACAAAACCAACACACGUUGCACAUAUACGAGGCUUAUCAAUGUAGAGACACUGACCCAAAACCAAACACACCCACACACACAACUCGCAAAACAGUGUUACAAGUGAAAAGAGAACAAAAAGCAGCAGCAAAACAAAAUUUGAGGCAACAAGGGCGCAGGCGAAGAUGAAGCAACAAAACAAACAAAGGUUUGUUUUGCGAUAGGGAUUAAGCCACCGAAAGCGGGUGGUAAAUAGCGAAGGGACAGGCAAUGCAACUGGAAAAACAUAUAAACUAAUUUAGAUAUAAUAAAUAUAUUAAAAUAAAAAUACGAAAAAAAACGAACAUUACUUUGAUGGUUUGAUUUUGUUCACCUUUUGUCCUUUGUUUUCUUUAGUUUCGAGAAGGAAAACUCACACUCUACCGUCGAUUCCGCACUUGGGGGUUUCGUGUGUAGCCGAAAAGAGAAAGAGGAGUGCGAGGCAAGGAGCGCGGCAAGGUGUAAAUUAUGGUUUUGUUUUUUGCGGAGCCCAACUAACUUACCAAUACCAAUAGUAGCAACGCGUACAGUAGUAGCAACUGGGAGUCAUCUCAGUAGCACAAUGUUUGAUGCCACGCAACCGCCAUCUAAUGCACCUCUGUUUACUUUCUGACCCAGUUUUCUAUCACGCACCACCACCACCACCACCACCGCACCGCAUGCCUUCUAACCACAAGCACGAUGCAUAUGUUUAUAAUGUUUCACCUUCACCUUCACUACCAUUACUUCCACCAAUCACAAUCACAGUAUCUGACAAUGGAAGCGCUUGUUGGCGACCUUUCUCGAGCGAAAAGGAACUUCUUGGAGGGAGCGAAACGAAACAAAAACGGCACAUAGUUGCUGAAUAAAACACAGAAGAAGCUUUGCAUCGAGAUUUAUGCAUCGCAUUUAAGACAACAGUAACGCAAGAUACAUACUACAGAUGUUCUAAACAGAAUCUAGCUUAGUUAACAUCCAUUAGGCUAAUGGUGCACUGGGAGCACACUGCAUAUAAGCAUGGUCCUCUUAUAACCUCAAAUGUGAUCCCGUUAAAUGGAAGAACAAAAAAUUUUGUGCCAGUUACUUGGUGAGCGAUCCGAUCCGGCAAGGAAUGUGCUCUGAUACGAGCACGAACACGGUGUUUACUACAAUCGAUGCUGGUUAUUCCAGUCUUCAUGCUCGGUUCCAUAUGAAAUCCCAAUGUUACCAAACUUUUAAGGUGCAUAAUCCGUUCUUUCAUAAUUAUACUAUACACAGGUGAGCUUCCCUUUCAUGCUCGCGGAAUUUUCCAUCAAGUGCCAUAUCAUCUCGUUUUGGAAAAUCUCCAGUUCUGGAACUAUAAGUCCCGUCUCGAACCAUCCCAUUGGCAAGAUGUGGGUUUUGUUUUCUAAGUUCUUUUUAUAGUAUCCUUCCAGCAGUCCACCCAUAUAAAAGAAAAAUUCCAUCUGCAAAAAGCGAGUCCUGCACCACAAAAAAAAAACGAGGGUUCAACUGUUAUCACAACCUGACGUUGGUUUGACAACGAAGGACAGUUUCUCGUAAACCCCUUAGCAUUCAUUUUGUUUUUCAAGUGGGUUCAACAAACUCUUCUACAGGAUUUGAAUUGUAGCUUUUAUUUGCACUCCCUACACAAGCGGGUAGGUUUUCCCUCCCUUUUUUUUAGUUUCGUUCAGCGUUGCCAAGGAGCGCACAUGAGCAAAAUAAACCCAAUUUUGAUUGGGUUCUGGAAGCGUUAUCCUUUCACACUCCCACAGACAGGUGGAAUUGUACCCUCUGAUGGUCUGAUGUUUCAAAACACAUUGCGGUUUCCAUGGGUGUGUAAUCAAAUAGGUAAAAAUCGUUAGCUGCAAAAAAGAUUAUCCCCCUUUUUGCUAUCUAUUGCAAUCAAGCGAAGGUUAAGCGUAACAAAUUUUAUCCGCUCUGUUACGUUCGUUGUUUUUUUAGCUCGCAUUAGGAUUGGCCUUUUAGUCUUUGUUUUCUGUUUCUAUCUAUCGUUUUUGUCUUUUGUUUUUGUUUUUAGUUUUCGUCUUUUGUGUUUAGUUUUUGUCUUUUGUUUUUGGCCAUUGUUUUUUUUCUUCUCUUAUUUAUGUUUUCUUAUUUGGUAUUUUUUUAAAUUUGUUAUGUCUUUUGUUGAAUGUUUUUGUUUUUGUCUUUUGUUAAUACUAUUUUUGUUGUUUUUCAUUCAUGAAGAAAAAAAAUUUUAAUUAUACUUGAGUGUAAACUUUUCUUAUUGUCCAUAUACAUUUCAAAAAAAUGAAAUGAUCUACUUAAACUUUUAACUUUCCAUUCAAGUCUACUUGCUUUCCUAGUAUCUCUUUAUAAAUAAUUAUUUUUUUAUGUUUUUCCUUCGUUUUAUUAAAUAUGAGACAUUUACACAAUCUAAAGCAUACUUUGAAUCACAAGCUACCGAGUAAGCGUGAACUCUCACCACAUCAAAGUGAAUGAUAUCCAAGCGUGGCCGAACGCUCUUGCUCACGGGAGCUAUCGGUGAUAACUGAAGCUUAUGCGAGCUACUGAUGAGUUAGCACUUGAUUUCUAAGGGUUCAGGGAUGUGUAACGAUUUGGCUCAGGGUACCAUUUCCUUUUCAAAUAAGCUUGAUCCAGAUCAAGAGUGGAAGGUUAAUUGCAUUAACCUUUCCACUCACAAAAUUCAUGGAAAUGCUACACUGUCUGCCAGCUAGCUCCCCAACUCCAGCUAGCUCCCCAAUAGUCCGCGAAAGCUUUAGCAAACGAGCUAUGUUACUGGUAGCACCGUGAGCAAGAUUCAGCUCGUAAGCAUAUCCAUCAAUACACACUCUCACCAAAAUCAAAUCACUAAACACACUCACGCUCAACUCGUGUAAGUUAUUUGAUACAAGAGAUUCUUAUUCAGUCAAAUUUAUUUCAUAUUUCAAUAUUAAGGUAGUUAAGAUACAUUUGUUGAUUAUCAAUGAUUACUCUUUUAUUUAUUUUGAACGUUAUUUUUACGACAGUUUCAUCUGUUCUUAUGCUUGGUUUAUAUUUUAUCUUUAUUAUAUUUUAAUUUUAUCUUAUACUAUUCCAUCGUUUUAAUAAGGCUCAACUCAAACCUUCUGCUCGCUGCAAACCUUUUUUGAAUGAAGUUUAGCAAUUGGAAUAAUCUAACUAAUUUAAGAAUUCCUUUGCGCAUUUCCUCUCCACCUCUCAGUAGUAGUAUUUCUUCCAGGACUAGUUCUGUCUGCUAAAAUAUUGCCAAUUCCUCUUAAUUGACUUGUGUCAUCUUUUUUUUCGGGCUGUCUAAAAAUUGUUCUGUUUGAAUGAGCUGUCAGACUCUCUGAGCGAUGGUCACAACGAUGGCAUUGGAAUAUAAGCUUCAAUUUUUUCCCAGAGUUUCCGCUACAUUUGAAGUGUCUUCUUGAAGGACCAUCUACCUCUUGAUUGACCUUUAUUUAACCAUCAGUAACAAUACACUGCAUAUUCUAAUCAGUCGUCAGAAUAUUCCUCUGAAUGGGUUGCGAAUGGACCCUCAAUACAGCCUUAUGACGACCGGCACCGCUAUAGCAUUUGUCACCUCACUAUCUUCGUUCGGAAAAUCCAAAAUUCAUAAAAUCCAGAUUGGAAAAUCUUUGCGUUAAGGAGAUUAUUUAUAGCACUUUGCAUCAUAAUGAGAUGUACUUGAAGUGUUUGCCGAAUAGCACUUUAAUGUCUCUAAUUUUUGUUUGGCAAUUUACGUGUAAUAAAUUAAGCUGGUAUUAACUGAAACAAAUUUAAAUUUUUGUUCAAGCUGAUGUUAAUUUUCUAGGGGUAAAGCAUUCAUUUAUGUCGCUCAGAAUAAAAUAAAAUAUAAAUAUGUUGCUUUUUUGCUUGUCCACAAACGUUGCUUUUCCGAUCUUGAUAAAAUAGGAAAUGAACACUGGAAAACAAUGAAUCCCAGUAAUGCACGUGGGUUGGCAUUUGAUAAUAUCAGUUUCACCAGCCAUAAACAAGACAUAAACAAAACCCAUUACCCAUAAACACCCAAUCUACUGUUCGAAUUGGAUGUUUGGUGUAGAUCUUGUACACCCAAACCAUUACCAACCCAUCACUAACCAUUGUUCACGUACAUCGCUCAAAGGCAUGCUAAACACUAAUUCAAUUAAGCACCUUGGCCCGCUGAGCACAGUUUUGUUAACAUCAGACGAUGCCUUUCUUUAAAGUGGCUGCUGAAAAUGAUCGGCUGGUAAAAAGUUUUCCUUUUGUCCUUUAAAGCACAAAGCAGCAAGCUCGCGGUACCAAGGGUAUGAGGAAACUUUUCAAUUGCGUUACUUUAUCUUCAAUAAUCGCAGCUAGGGAAGAAUGGAUCCUUAAAAGCAUUAUCAUAAUGCAAACGAUAUAAAUGAAAUCGAUAAACUAAUUUCUCGUACAUCAAAACUAUGAUAACAAAUCCGGAACAUAACUUUGAAACUCCGAUUGCAAUGGUUAUAAGCUGGCCAUUGUGAAGCCGCCGCUCAUAACCGUUAAUUACUCGAUGGCUUUUCUUGUGUAAAGUGGAAAUUAAAAGCAGCCACCGAAGCCAAUCCAAAAGUGCACACCUACCUGCUCUAAUUAAAACUUUUCAAAUUGGAUUCCUUUAAUUGCUCGGCAACAUUACGUGGGCUUCCAUAGUUCAUGGUUCAGGCUGCUGUACAAAUUAAUUGCGGCUUCGAGCCGCUUGUAUUUCUUUGGCUCUGUAUUUUUUUUAAACUAGCGCUUUACAAAAUGUGUGAAAAUGCUGUACAAUAAGUCUCUAGUUUAUCUUUAUCAAAUUCUGUAUCAAGUUUAAUCGCAAGCCUUUUCGAUUUUGAACACACACCGACAUGCAAGUGGGUGUUUUUCCUGCCCCGAACCGAUCCGGCUCGUACCUUUUUACGAAGUUUCAUUAUUUGCAUUAAUGACCAGCUAAACGCCGGGAACGGACGAAUGUACAGGGACGAACGUUCGACGAAGAGAUUUGCUAUCGGACUUAAUCCCAUUACUUCCACAAACUAAACCCUUAAUCAUAGCUCGGGUUCGUACAUUCAAAGUCGAAAGGGUGAGGUUUCCCACUCGUUAAAUCGUAACUUCGCAAGCGAUCCCACCGUGAGGUGUUGUCGUUAAUGUUUAAUUUGCUUUUCUAUUUGAUUUGUCUCAGUGAUUGUUCCUAGGGAGUUUUGUUUGAUUAUUUUAUCAUUGAAUUGCUAAGCUUUUACGUAAUGAUUUUAAACGAUUUUUGAAGCACGUACGUCUGCAGCAGGGUAUUCAAUUUCCAUCCUCAUCAUUACGUUGUAUAAUAUUCAAUAUUGUCUUACCUUUUAUAGAGUGUUUUUUAGUCCAUAAAACAAGUGUCUGCACUGUUGAAAACACUGUACGUAUAUUACUGAAUGACAGUUUGAAACUAGCGACUAAUGACGGAAAACGAACACAAAACACUCGAUUAACCCUAAACUUUCCUUAAUCUUCACGUGAUACCAAUAAAGAAUGAGCAAAAAUUUUGAUGAUGAUACAAAAUUUUUUUCUUUAUUUUAGGAGCUUUUUCAACUAAUUUUUUCAGCCAUAAAUAUAGGUACCAGGCAGGAUAAAACUUCUAAGCAUCGGCAAACUUCGAACGAUAGCUAUACUUCUCCGAUGCACACUUAUCCAACACGCAAACGUAAUACGCAUAUGUGUUUCGCUUCUAGCCGAUCAAACGAUCACAUUAUACGUAGCCAUUUGUAUAUGUAGAUACUCAUCAAAACCAAUAUUUAUGAAGAAGAAAAAAUAUAGCAAAAAAUUACAAAAAAAAGUACAAAAUAAGUGUGUAAAAAAUAAACCAAAAAACAUUAGAAUGUGUGCAUUAAACCAUUUACUCAACCAUAUAAAGCAGACGAGAGUGGGCGAGGGAUAUAUUUAAUAUUUAACACAUAACGUCAAUUGUACUAUUAGCGUUAGAGAGUGUGUGUUUGUGGUAGAGAAUGCUUACUGGAGCACAAGCAACAACAACAAAAAAAUAGAAAUUCUCUCGCAAUUUGUGGCAUGAUAAUGGACAGUUUGUUCAGUCGCAUAUUGAAACGUUUGUCUCCGGACAAAAGCAGGAACUUUGGGCUAAAAAGGUUUACUGGAACAGACUGUCUCCGAUGGAUGUGUUUGCGGACGAGAGUAUUUCAGCUCCCAGCAAACGUACCUUUCUUUGAGCGCAGGCACGCAGGUAGCUAGGUCCACCACGUUAUGUGACUGUGGUGCAAUCCACAGACCACCAGCAGGAUGGAUGGUUUGCCCCGUUUGCCAGCUUUUCUGAGAGGACGUAUAUUUUGAUAUUGGCUUUGAAAAUUGAUUCAUACCACUUUACUGUAAGCAAGAUGUAUUGGUGAUGAGGAGUGAGUAGGUUUUGGAUGAUCUUUGGACGCCGGGCGCCACAUUUGACGCACAACGAGUGUAAAAUUGGAAAAUGUCGUAAGUAUUAAGGUUUGAUGUCUACUAGGGAAAGUAGUGAUUUGUGACAAGUUCUGGUGUCAAGCUGUGCUUUAUAGAGUGUACAACGACACUGCCGCACAAAUCGUAUUUGUACUUGGCUAGUGGUAGAAAUUCAUCAUUGACCAAUUAAGAUCCGUGCUGACGUGUCGACUGUCAAUCUCCGGAGUCGGUGAAGCAGGAGCAGAGCACGGAGUAAUUAAAUUAUUUACAACCAUUUGUAGAGCUGCAUAAGGAUAAGGAUGAGAAAUGUGCAUGGAGUUGGAGAAGAAGAGCUAUCGUUGAAAACUGGUACGAGCCAUCACGAAGCUCCGGUUGGAACCAAAUAAUACGGUAGCUUGGCGAUACGCUCGUACACAUAGCAGUUGUAGUGUAUUUUUGUCCUGCCGUUGGAUUGGUGCCUAACCAACUGGUGAAUAAUUCAAUUGUGAAAAACUAUCAAAUGUAUGAAAGCCGUUUGAGCGAGCUACUAUGCUCGCCUUUUACGUGUACUUGGUAUACACAAACAGCUGGCAAACGGUUAUCAUCCUCCCCUCGGUGGAGUAUCAUCCACCACACACACAAACGCGCCCAUACCACAUGCUCAAUAUUUAUGUGAUAAUGUUUUCGACCCCUCAACAUCAUAAAUGCGUCUUGCCUUGAGUGGAUCGGUGGAAGUGGAGCGAUCGGUAUCGUGCACACAACCUCAUCCCUCUCUAUUGGCAAGCGUCUGGUACACAACACAGCCCUGACACUUUCCCCCUUUCGAAGCAUAGCUAACCGUGCGUCUGGCAUAGUUUUGUUGAAGACAGAAAGUGCACAACAGCGUACAACAACAGUUGUGAAAAUAAGGCACAAGCACAAGAUCAUGUAACGGCCAGAUGCAGCUUGGCUAUGCUUCAACAUUCGAAAGGGUCAGAGACAUCGAAAACUUGUCAAGAGCCACGAAUAUGAUGGGCAUGUGAGGGGGUGGACUGUGAUGGAGUGGAGGGGGAGGAUGCAUUUGCACCGUUUACGUGUAACGGCUUAGCGUACGUUUAGCGUAUGAGCAAUUGAGUUAACGAUGGACUUUUUUUUGCUAAUCUCAAAAGGCUUGCUUUUAUAGACUUAAAAUUUUGUUAAAAAAAAUUUUUCUUUCAAACCAGAACCUCGACAGGUUUUGGCCUGUUACUUUGGGCUUUCUGUGACUUGUUUUACCCAUACCCGGGUAGUCAGUAUUACGUUCGGAGGAAGGGUCCGGAUAGGAUUAGAUCCCCGGCCCAGGCACGUCAAGACCAGUGGUACUGUCGCCUCGAUCACCAGACCCUCGUCAAGUUCAGUGCCGAAAUUGUUUAAAAACCAACUCAUACAAUACUCAACAUUGGUAUCAAGUCGCGAUUGGAAUAAAUGACCAAACAUAAUGACAAAAAAAAAAAA